rnacentral:tRNA from 1 species
CAAGCGAUAAUUUAAUUUUAGAAUUCUGGCCUUGGGUGUCAGUAGUGGGAGAGAAAUUCCCCCCCGCUUGA